UACGUAGGGUGCAAGCGUUGUCCGGAAUUAUUGGGCGUAAAGAGCUCGUAGGCGGUUUGUCGCGUCUGCUGUGAAAACCCGAGGCUCAACCUCGGGCCUGCAGUGGGUACGGGCAGACUAGAGUGCGGUAGGGGAGAUUGGAAUUCCUGGUGUAGCGGUGGAAUGCGCAGAUAUCAGGAGGACACCAAUGGCGAAGGCAGAUCUCUGGGCCGUAACUGACGCUGAGGAGCGAAAGCAUGGGGAGCGAACAGG
rnacentral:rRNA from 1 species